GACCCCUGCAUGUUUCUGAAUUCAGGGAGGCCUUCUUAACCCCUUUAGACCUAAAGUACUUCCCUAUGCUAAGAAUGGCAUUUACUUCUGAAAGAGUACUUGUCUAAAUAACACGGACCCGCGGGCAGGGGAUUUCCCCACGGCAAGGGGCUACACAAUCACUUGCUAAAAGGAACAAGUAAUAGGAUUGAAGCAAUUAAAGCUCGAAUAUCAUAUUUUAACAAAGGAAGUAGGGAAGAAAUAACUUAUUUAAACUUAGGAUCGACAAAGCAGUUGUGUCUUCACUGCUUCUCCCGGGGCUCCUUCGGGCUUUUUGCUUCUCUUUGGUGGGGAGGAUUUCCAGGAUGCCGAGUUUAAUGCUGCCCUCCAAGCCCACCAGCAAGAUGUUAAAAGUGUCCCUGAAUUCCUCCACAUUUCCUGACAGCCAGAUCCCAUUGUACAGUGCAUUGCUGACCCCUUUAACAGCAACGACAAAAAAAUAGUACAAGUUCAACUCUAUGGAAACCUGCAUAAAGGAAUGUACAGCAUUUUUGCAUUGGGGGGCGGGGGGGAAAUGCAGUCAAGCUGAGUUCCUCGGUCCCUGAUUAUUACAGCAAGGGGCUGAUCCUGCUCGUGCUGAACACGUGCCAAAAGCCAGGGACGAGCGGCAGAAGCCAGAGUCGCUCAGCACCUUCCAGGAUUAGAGCCUUUGCGCUGAGCUCUGGGCUGGCUUGGAUGGAUCCUGCCUGGUGCUAAGAGCCGCCUGGGAGGACCAGACUAAGGAUCCCCUGCCCAGAGGCACAUUUCAGCUGUGAGGGAGCAGAGUGGACCUCUAAGGAGCCAGGCACUGGUUUGCAUCGGACAGACAGAGCAGUCUCUGCUUUGCUGUGUCCUCCUCCAUCCGCAGGGAUAUUCUCCAGGGACAGGUCAGUUUGAAUGAGGAUAACAGCGAGGUGCAGGCCUGGCAUGUGCUCAGGCUGAGUGCUCAGCACAUCUUUCGUGAGAGCCGGUGAUGUUUCUCUGGGAACGUGAGU